rnacentral:lncRNA from 1 species
GAACCUUGUGUUUGAUUUGCUCAGUGAGCAGGUGCUUUGCGUCAAGCUUUAAUAUUUCUGAUGGUAUCUAAGGGAUCAGGAGACCUUGCGUCUUUGUCUCAGGGCUGCUCUGGUAUGUGUAUGCGUCAUGUGUUUGUUUAGCAACAAACGAGGAAGCACACUGAGACAGAUGGCUUGAAACCACAGCCUCCAGUGACAUCACAUCGUAUCAUGCCUGCAAGGUCGCACGUGGUUCAGGUAAAACCAGACAAGCGACAUUCUGAUGAAUCUCUUUGUCCCUCCCUCUUGUUUAAUUGUCUCUUUUUCCCAUGCGUGUGUUUAUUCCUCUCCACUUCGUCUGAGUGUUACUCCUGCCAAGGCGAUCAUGGAUUACUCUCAACCCUUCUCAGUCCUCAACGAGAGGCUGAGACCUCGAUCCUCUACCAAAGAGCAGCUCAUCUCUUCCUUGGGCAGACUGGAGAACAGAAAGCUCGACUCGUUCAGGAGCAAAUCCACAUCCUACACUCAAUCCAUGCUUCAGACAGAGCCAGAGCCAAAAGUCUCCAUAACAGAUCCAGAAGAUCUGGAGGAAACCAAAAGCUACGAAGAGGAAGAAGAGUUGAAGUGGACGAUGAGGAGAUGAGCACUGAUGACAGCAGCGUCACACAUUCUGAGGAGACAGACAGCGCAGGGGAGCUGGUUUCAGUGGGGACAAGAGACCCUUCAAAGUCUGAUGCAUCAAGUGAAGCAGAGGGCUCCUUCCAGAGGUCCUGCAUGGACAGAUCCCUCCCAGACCUGAUAAAGAGUGGCAGGCCGCUCUGCAGACGCAGAACCGUGGCGCAUGUCUCGGAGACGCUUAAGGAAGUGCGCAGAGAAGUGGAGCUGUCUCGGAGACGAAGUAUCAAACUCAAGGCCCAAGUGGACAAACUGCAGGAGAACAGAGACGGACCGGGCUGGAGCAAGCACAAGGAGAGCGUCACGGAGGAGGUUCUGUCGGUUCUGGGGUUGCUGCAUCCUCUGGUGGAGCCGGAGUUCAGCCAGCCAAAGCUCGGCGGCGGCGGGGAAAGCCGCCUGGAGACUGCUGUGGCCCAGCUGCAGAUUGUAGCUCGCAAACUGGUGAUCAGCCACAGCAAGCAGGAGUCCAAAUCUGGAACAGAGGACAGCGGUGUCCUCCAGCAAGCACUGAGGGACAGAGACGACGCCAUAGAGAAAAAGAAGGCGAUGGAGGCUGAGGUGCUGCGCAGUAAGACGGAGAUGAUGGUGCUGAACAACCAUCUGCUGGAGGCUGCACAGAAACGUCUGGAGCUCUCACUGGAGCUGGAAGCCUGGAAGGAGGACUUCCAGCGGCUUCUGCAGCAGCUGGUGCAGAUGCAGCAGCAGGCGGAUCAGGCCCAGAAGAAAUCUUCUCGCAUGGGCAUCCUGAGGAGAAUCAACAAGACACCCGUCCAGCGUCCGGCCAACUGCCCUCUGCCAGCGACAUCGACUCCUCCUACAACCAACUCCAAGCAGAUCUACAAGAUAGAAUCUGCAGGUUCUGCCUCUCCCACUCCCAGCAGCAGCAGCGGAGGAAGUGGGAGCAGCAAAGGCACCUGGAAGUUGAAAUCCAAAAAGAGCAGGAACAGUCGGCUUUGGUAUCAGGAGCAGGACUCAGAUCACUGCAAGUACGAUGACGGCUUCCAGGUCGUGUCACUGGACUAA